rnacentral:rRNA from 1 species
GCAUAUCAAUAAGCGGAGGAAAAGAAACCAACAGGGAUUGCCUCAGUAACGGCGAGUGAAGCGGCAAAAGCUCAAAUUUGAAACCCUCGGGAUUGUAAUUUGAAGAUUUGGCAUUGGAGAAAGCUAACCCAAGUUGCUUGGAAUAGUACGUCAUAGAGGGUGACAACCCCGUCUGGCUAACCGUUCUCCAUGUAUUGCCUUAUCAAAGAGUCGAGUUGUUUGGGAAUGCAGCUCAAAGUGGGUGGUAAACUCCAUCUAAAGCUAAAUACUGGUGAGAGACCGAUAGCGAACAAGUACUGUGAAGGAAAGGUGAAAAGAACUUUGAAAAGAGAGUGAAAUAGUAUGUGAAAUUGUUGAUAGGGAAGGAAAUGAGUGGAGAGUGGCCGAGGUUUCAGCCGCCCCUCGUGGGCGGUGUACUGCCGACGCCGAGUCAUCGAUAGCGAGACGAGGGUUACAAAUGGGAGCGCCUUCGGGCGUUCUCCCCUAACCCUCCACACUGCCACCGACGACAUAAUCCACCCAUUUCACCCGUCUUGAAACACGGACCAAGGAGUCUAAUGGAUAUGUGAGUGUUAGGGUGGCAAACCCCAGCGCGCAAUGAAAGUGAAUGGAUUCGUUCAGAAUCGACCGAACUUGAUUAUUAUGACAGUUUUGAGUAAACACAUCCAUUGGGACCCGAAAGAUGGUGAACUAUGCCUGGAUAGGGUGAAGUCAGAGGAAACUCUGAUGGAGGCUCGUAGCGGUUCUGACGUGCAAAUCGAUCGUAGGAUCUGGGUAUAGGGGCGAAAGACUAAUCGAACCAUCUAGUAGCUGGUUCCUGCCGA